ACUCCUGCGGGAGGCAGCAGUGGGGAAUUUUGGACAAUGGGCGAAAGCCUGAUCCAGCCAUGCCGCGUGCAGGAUGAAGGCCUUCGGGUUGUAAACUGCUUUUGUACGGAACGAAACGGCCUUUUCUAAUAAAGAGGGCUAAUGACGGUACCGUAAGAAUAAGCACCGGCUAACUACGUGCCAGCAGCCGCGGUAAUACGUAGGGUGCAAGCGUUAAUCGGAAUUACUGGGCGUAAAGCGUGCGCAGGCGGUUAUGUAAGACAGUUGUGAAAUCCCCGGGCUCAACCUGGGAACUGCAUCUGUGACUGCAUAGCUAGAGUACGGUAGAGGGGGAUGGAAUUCCGCGUGUAGCAGUGAAAUGCGUAGAUAUGCGGAGGAACACCGAUGGCGAAGGCAAUCCCCUGGACCUGUACUGACGCUCAUGCACGAAAGCGUGGGGAGCAAACAGGAUUAGAUACCCCUGUAGUCCC
rnacentral:rRNA from 1 species